rnacentral:rRNA from 1 species
CGGACGGGUGAGUAAUACUUAGGAAUCUGCCCAUCAGUGGGGGACAACUAGAAGAAAUUCUAGCUAAUACCGCAUACGCCCUACGGGGGAAAGCGGGGGGAUCUUCGGACCUCGCGCUAAUGGAUGAGCCUAAGUCGGAUUAGCUUGUUGGUGAGGUAAAGGCUCACCAAGGCGACGAUCCGUAGCUGGUCUGAGAGGACGAUCAGCCACACUGGGACUGAGACACGGCCCAG